CAGUUAUCCCAGAAGCAGCAGAAAGCUUCAGUUCAAUGAGAGUAGGUAUCAACUACUCUGUUGCCUGUGUGCACCUCAGCACUGCAGAGCUUGGGGAGCAGUAGAGUGUCAGAGAGCAACUCUGCUGCCCUGUGAAGUGUUCAUCCUGCAGCCUAAUAACACUGUUUGGAAGGCCAUUAGCACUACCUAAGUGUCUCCUAUAGGAUAGUGGUGGGCAGAAGAGAACACCAUAUAGGAAUGCACAAGGAAAAGAAAAAUGAGUGGAAGAGAUAAUGGAGAAUAUGAGAGAUUGAAAGAAAAUGAGUGCUAAGAAAAAAGAAACAGAAAAACAUGAAUUAUAAGCUCAGCACUUCCUUGUGGUUCAACAUGCCUUUGCAUUUCCACAUCCAGCCAUUUCCACAACAGCAUGGGGAGGGAACUUCCUGUUCUUUUCACAGUUUGGAGCUGUCUCAUCUUGUGAAAACCUCAUCUUUGAAUGCUGCAUGUGCUGUCAUAAAAUGAGAGAUCAAAAAACCUCAGCAACUGAGCAGUGCUUUUGGAAGAUCCAGCUCUGCUUCUGUGAAAUUCAGUGGCAAAAAUCCAGUUCUUCAUUGUCCGUCUUAGUGGAUGAUACUGGUUCAUCAGUUGCAGGAAUAUUCGUCAUAUAAUUAGAUGUGUCAGCUGUCAAGCUCACAGUCUGAACAGCACGUGCCUCCUGAAGUUCUUGCUGAACUUGGAAGCAACACCCUGGAAGCUGAUGGAGCUACACAAACAUGUGAUCCCAACAGAAAGAAGAAGCGGGCUCUUUUAUGCAACAUACUUUAUGUGAGAGACCUUACUGUGAACUCAGACGGUGAAAUACUUGCCUGUUGGUCUGUUCAAAAGCUGAAAGAUCUUUUUGUAAGUCACCUCAAUUCUAUACGAGAG
rnacentral:lncRNA from 1 species